UACGUAGGGGGCUAGCGUUGUCCGGAAUCAUUGGGCGUAAAGAGCGUGUAGGCGGCUCGGUAAGUCCGCUGUGAAAGUCCAGGGCUCAACCCUGGAAUGCCGGUGGAAACUGUCGAGCUAGAGUCCGGAAGAGGCGAGUGGAAUUCCUGGUGUAGCGGUGAAAUGCGCAGAUAUCAGGAGGAACACCAAUGGCGAAGGCAGCUCGCUGGGACGGCACUGACGCUGAGACGCGAAAGCGUGGGGAGCAAACAGG
rnacentral:rRNA from 1 species